AUUGAACGCUGGCGGCAGGCUUAACACAUGCAAGUCGAGCGGGGGAAGGUAGCUUGCUACCGGACCUAGCGGCGGACGGGUGAGUAAUGCUUAGGAAUCUGCCUAUUAGUGGGGGACAACAUCUCGAAAGGGAUGCUAAUACCGCAUACGUCCUACGGGAGAAAGCAGGGGAUCUUUGGACCUUGCGCUAAUAGAUGAGCCUAAGUCGGAUUAGCUAGUUGGUGGGGCAAAGGCCUACCAAGGCGACGAUCUGUAGCGGGUCUGAGAGGAUGACCCGCCACACUGGGACUGAGACACGGCCCAGACUCCUACGGGAGGCAGCAGUGGGGAAUAUUGGACAAUGGGGGGAACCCUGAUCCAGCCAUGCCGCGUGUGUGAAGAAGGCCUUAUGGUUGUAAAGCACUUUAAGCGAGGAGGAGGCUACUUUAGUUAAUACCUAGAGAUAGUGGACGUUACUCGCAGAAUAAGCACCGGCUAACUCUGUGCCAGCCGCCGCCGUAA
rnacentral:rRNA from 1 species